UACGAAGGGGGCGAGCGUUGUUCGGAAUUACUGGGCGUAAAGGGCGCGUAGGCGGCCUUCUAAGUCGAACGUGAAAUCCCUGGGCUCAACCCAGGAACUGCGUCCGAUACUGAAAGGCUUGAAUCCGGGAGAGGGAUGCGGAAUUCCAGGUGUAGCGGUGAAAUGCGUAGAUAUCUGGAGGAACACCGGUGGCGAAGGCGGCAUCCUGGACCGGUAUUGACGCUGAGGCGCGAAAGCCAGGGGAGCAAACGGG
rnacentral:rRNA from 1 species